CUCAGAUCUCCAAGGUUAGCCUUUGGAGGCACAUUACCGGCCAAUGUGUUUGUGUUUCCUGCAAUCACAUACAAGAAACAGCAUAAUCAGGGUACUUAUCUUCUUACUUGGAUUUCCUGGAAUCAUCAAGAAAAAAUUUUCCUCCCUAAAACAUUCUCUUCCAAGUGUUGGGUUUGGCGAGCCAAGUAUACCUGUUAUGGAGCCAACAAUGAUAAGCCGCUUGGAGGAGUAGUCUGAUUUCUUCAAAUCGUCAAGCAGCAGCCGUGCAAGCAGGAAGUGACCAAGAUGGUUAGUCCCAACACUGAGUUCAAACCCUUCAGCGGUGAAGGAUGGCUCCUUGGCAGUGGGUAAGUAGACAGCAGCAUUGCACAC